AUUGAACGCUAGCGGGAUGCCUUACACAUGCAAGUCGAACGCAGUUUCGAACGGGUGAGUACUGUAUCGUAACGUGCCCAUUAGUAGGGGAUAACUACGCGAAAGCUUAGCCAAUACCGCAUACGUGUGGAGCGGCUGAUAUUGGAUUAGCUGGUUGGUGGGGUAACGGCUCACCAAGGCCACGAUCCGUAGCUGGGUUGAGAGGACGACCAGCCACACUGGGACUGAGACACGGCCCAGACUCCUACGGGAGGCAGCAGUAGGGAAUUUUGGACAAUGGGGGAAACCCUGAUCCAGCCAUCCCGCGUGUGCGAUGAAGGCCUUCGGGUUGUAAAGCACUUUUGGCAGGAAAGCGGUACCUGACGAAUAAGCACCGGCUAACUACGUGCCAGCAGCCGCGGUAAUUC
rnacentral:rRNA from 1 species